CGGCGAGUGAAGCGGCAACAGCUCAAAUUUGAAAUCUGGCCCUCGGGUCCGAGUUGUAAUUUGUAGAGGAUGCUUUUGGUGAGGUGCCUUCCGAGUUCCCUGGAACGGGACGCCAUAGAGGGUGAGAGCCCCGUCUGGUUGGACACCGAGCCUCUGUAAAGCUCCUUCGACGAGUCGAGUAGUUUGGGAAUGCUGCUCUAAAUGGGAGGUAUAUGUCUUCUAAAGCUAAAUACCGGCCAGAGACCGAUAGCGCACAAGUAGAGUGAUCGAAAGAUGAAAAGCACUUUGAAAAGAGGGUUAAAUAGUACGUGAAAUUGUUGAAAGGGAAGCGCUUGUGACCAGACUUGAGCCCGGUUAAUCAUCCAGCCUUCUGGCUGGUGCACUUGGCCGGCUCAGGCCAGCAUCAGUUCGGCGCGGGGGAUAAAGGCUUCGGGAAUGUGGCUCCUCCGGGAGUGUUAUAGCCCGUUGUGUAAUACCCUGUACUGGACUGAGGUUCGCGCAUCUGCAAGGAUGCUGGCGUAAUGGUCAUCAGCGACCCGUCUUGAAACACGGACCAAGGAGUCGUCCUCGUAUGCGAGUGUUCGGGUGUCAAACCCCUACGCGUAAUGAAAGUGAACGCAGGUGAGAGCUUCGGCGCAUCAUCGACCGAUCCUGAUGUUCUCGGACGGAUUUGAGUAAGAGCAUACGGGGCCGGACCCGAAAGAAGGUGAACUAUGCCUGUAUAGGGUGAAGCCAGAGGAAACUCUGGUGGAGGCUCGCAGCGGUUCUGACGUGCAAAUCGAUCGUCAAAUAU
rnacentral:rRNA from 1 species